UACAGAGGUCUCAAGCGUUGUUCGGAUUCAUUGGGCGUAAAGGGUGCGUAGGCGGCGCGGUAAGUCGGGUGUGAAAUCUCGGAGCUUAACUCCGAAACUGCAUUCGAUACUGCCGUGCUAGAGGACUGGAGAGGAGACUGGAAUUUACGGUGUAGCGGUGAAAUGCGUAGAUAUCGUAAGGAAGACCAGUGGCGAAGGCGGGUCUCUGGACAGUUCCUGACGCUGAGGCACGAAGGCCAGGGGAGCAAAACAGG
rnacentral:rRNA from 1 species